rnacentral:rRNA from 1 species
UACGAGGGGGGCAAAUGUUGUUCGGAAUCACUGGGCGUAAAGGGAGCGUAGGCGGGCUUCUAAGUUAGGUGUUUAAUCCCGGGGCCCAACCCCGGUCGUGCACUUAAAACUGGAAGUCUUGAAUAGUGGAGAGGUCAGUGGAAUUGGGGGUGUAGCGGUGGAAUGCGUAGAGAUCCCCAAGAACACCAGUUGCGAAGGCGGCUGACUGGACACAUAUUGACGCUGAGGCUCGAAAGCAUGGGGAGCAAACGGG